rnacentral:rRNA from 1 species
CAGCCGCCGCGGUAAUACGUAGGGUGCGAGCGUUAAUCGGAUUUACUGGGCGUAAAGCGUGCGCAGGCGGCCCGUUAAGACAGGUGUGAAAUCCCUGGGCUCAACCUAGGAAUUGCGCUUGUGACUGGCGGGCUCGAGUACGGUAGAGGGGGGUGGAAUUCCUGGUGUAGCAGUGAAAUGCGUAGAGAUCAGGAGGAACACCGAUGGCGAAGGCAGCCCCCUGGGCCUGUACUGACGCUCAUGCACGAAAGCGUGGGGAGCAAACAGGAUUAGAUACCCUGGUAGUCCACGCCCUAAACGAGGGGUACUAGCCGUUUGGUGAACGAAAGAGCUGAGUGGCGAAGCUAACGCGUGAAGUACCCCGCCUGGGGAGUACGGCCGCAAGGUUGAAACUUAAAGGAAUUGGCGGG